CGCUGGCGGCAGGCCUAACACACGCAAGUCGAGCGGAAACGAGUUAUCUGAACCUUCGGGGAACGAUAACGGCGUCGAGCGGCGGACGGGUGAGUAAUGCCUAGGAAAUUGCCCUGAUGUGGGGGAUAACCAUUGGAAACGAUGGCUAAUACCGCAUGAUGCCUACGGGCCAAAGAGGGGGACCUUCGGGCCUCUCGCGUCAGGAUAUGCCUAGGUGGGAUUAGCUAGUUGGUGAGGUAAGGGCUCACCAAGGCGACGAUCCCUAGCUGGUCUGAGAGGAUGAUCAGCCACACUGGAACUGAGACACGGUCCAGACUCCUACGGGAGGCAGCAGUGGGGAAUAUUGCACAAUGGGCGCAAGCCUGAUGCAGCCAUGCCGCGUGUAUGAAGAAGGCCUUCGGGUUGUAAAGUACUUUCAGUCGUGAGGAAGGCGGCGUCGUUAAUAGCGGCGUUGUUUGACGUUAGCGACAGAAGAAGCACCGGCUAACUCCGUGCCAGCAGCCGCGGUAAUACGGAGGGUGCGAGCGUUAAUCGGAAUUACUGGGCGUAAAGCGCAUGCAGGUGGUUUGUUAAGUCAGAUGUGAAAGCCCGGGGCUCAACCUCGGAAUAGCAUUUGAAACUGGCAGACUAGAGUACUGUAGAGGGGGGUAGAAUUUCAGGUGUAGCGGUGAAAUGCGUAGAGAUCUGAAGGAAUACCGGUGGCGAAGGCGGCCCCUGGGACAGAUACUGACACUCAGAUGCGAAAGCGUGGGGAGCAAACAG
rnacentral:rRNA from 1 species